rnacentral:rRNA from 1 species
CACGUAGGGUGCGAGCGUUGUCCGGAAUUAUUGGGCGUAAAGAGCUCGUAGGCGGUGUGUCGCGUCGGCCGUGAAAACCUGGGGCUUAACCCUGAGCUUGCGGUCGAUACGGGCAUGACUGGAGUUCGGCAGGGGAGACUGGAAUUCCUGGUGUAGCGGUGAAAUGCGCAGAUAUCAGGAGGAACACCGGUGGCGAAGGCGGGUCUCUGGACAGUUCCUGACGCUGAGGCACGAAGGUCAGGGGAGCAAACGGG